GAAUGAGAGGACAAUCUGGCUGCGACAUCUGUCACUUCAUUGAUCAUGGGGUUGAUUCGGCUGAUUUGGUUGGCUAGGUGGGUGUCGUCGUCCCCCCUUCCUCCCUUACCACUCCAACGUGCUCCUCUCCCUCUCCUGAAGCUGCAUGGCCUUCCCUGAGUAGAGGAGGACCACUCUAUACACGAGCAGCUGCCUGCACUCCCCUGCUAGAACUUCCCAAAUUCGCUCUGGGGUCCAGGCAGAUCUUCCUGCUUUAGCCUCCCAAGUAGCUGGGCUAACAGGC
rnacentral:snRNA from 1 species